UACGUAGGGUGCGAGCGUUGUCCGGAAUUAUUGGGCGUAAAGGGCUCGUAGGCGGUCUGUCGCGUCGAAAGUGAAAACCCAGGGCUUAACCCUGGGCCUGCUUCCGAUACGGGCAGACUAGAGGUAUGCAGGGGAGAACGGAAUUCCUGGUGUAGCGGUGAAAUGCGCAGAUAUCAGGAGGAACACCGGUGGCGAAGGCGGUUCUCUGGGCAUUACUGACGCUGAGGAGCGAAAGCGUGGGGAGCGAACAGG
rnacentral:rRNA from 1 species